UCCGCGUGAGUGAAGAAGGUUUCGGAUCGUAAAACUCUGUUGUUAGGGAAGAACAAGUGCCGUUCGAAUAGGGCGGCGCCUUGACGGUACCUAACCAGAAAGCCACGGCUAACUACGUGCCAGCAGCCGCGGUAAUACGUAGGUGGCAAGCGUUGUCCGGAAUUAUUGGGCGUAAAGCGCGCGCAGGUGGUUUCUUAAGUCUGAUGUGAAAGCCCACGGCUCAACCGUGGAGGGUCAUUGGAAACUGGGGAACUUGAGUGCAGAAGAGGAAAGUGGAAUUCCAAGUGUAGCGGUGAAAUGCGUAGAUAUUUGGAGGAACACCAGUGGCGAAGGCGACUUUCUGGUCUGUAACUGACACUGAGGCGCGAAAGCGUGGGGAGCAAACAGGAUUAGAUACCC
rnacentral:rRNA from 1 species